AUGCGCAGCAAGCCUGAACCAGUUUGAACCGGUUUUAACGGCUCUGUGCUGAAAGUGUGCGCCUGUCCGACUUUUUGUGGAGCAAAAACCGCGGGAGCUGACAAAACUUUCGCUCUAGCAGAUAUCUGAAGAAUUUAAUCGGAUCACGAGCAAGGACCUCCUCUGGACUUUCAAUGCAUCCCUUGGCAAAUUUGGGCCUGGACUGCUGAAAAUCUACAGGUCUAAGAAAGAAGCUUUUGGUCAGGAGAUGGAGGAGCUCCUUGAUCAACAUGAUUACCAGGACACCAACAUUUUGGCACCAGUGGUGCAAGGUGUGUCUGUUGCCAUCCUCACUGUGCUACAU